GCCAGGCCGGGGAGAGAUCGAACUUGCGAAGCGAAGGUCGUCGGUUCGAGUCCGGCAGGGGGCU
rnacentral:tRNA from 1 species